GAUGAACGCUGGCGGCGUGCUUAACACAUGCAAGUCGAACGAAGCAUUUGCGACAGAUUUCUUCGGAUUGAAGUUGCUUAUGACUGAGUGGCGGACGGGUGAGUAACGCGUGGGUAACCUGCCUCACACAGGGGGAUAGCAGUUGGAAACGGCUGAUAAUACCGCAUAAGCCCACGGCUCGGCAUCGAGCAGAGGGAAAAGGAGCAAUCCGCUUUGAGAUGGCCUCGCGUUCGAUUAGCUUGUUGGUGAGGUAACGGCCCACCAAGGCGACGAUCAGUAGCCGGCCUGAGAGGGUGAACGGCCACAUUGGGGACUGAGACACGGCCCCAAAAUCCUACGGGAGGCAGCAGUGGGAAUAUUGCACAAUGGGGGAAACCCUGAUGCAGCGACGCCGCGUGAGUGAUGAAGUAUUUCGGUAUGUAAAACUCUAUCAGCAGGGAAGAUAAUGACGGUACCUGACUAAGAAGCACCGGCUAAAUACGUA
rnacentral:rRNA from 1 species